GGGAAUGUAGCUUAGUGGUAGAGUGCUUGCCUCACGUGCAUGAAGCCCUAGGUUCAAUUCCUCAGUACCA
rfam:Dipodomys ordii contig_10956, whole genome shotgun sequence.